rnacentral:rRNA from 1 species
UAGGGAAGUCUUCCACAAUGGACGAAAGUACUGAUGGAGCAACGCCGCGUGAGUGAAGAAGGGUUUCGGCUCGUAAAACUCUGUUGUUAAAGAAGAACAUAUCUGAGAGUAACUGUUCAGGUAUUGACGGUAUUUAACCAGAAAGCCACGGCUAACUACGUGCCAG